UUAACUAGGAUUAGAUACCCUAUUAUUAAAAAUUUAAAAUAAAUACUAAAAUAUUAAAUAAUUAAUUAUUGAAACUUAAAUAAUUUGGCGGUAUUUUAGUACAUUUAGAGGAAUCUGUUUAAUAAUUGAUAAUCCACGAAUAAAUUUACUUAAUUUAUUAUUUUGCAUAUCGUUCCUCCAAAAAUAUUUUUUAAUAAAAAUAAUAUUUAAAAAUUAAAAGUAAAAAUUAACUCAGAUCAAGAUGCAGAUUAUAAUUAAGAAUAUAAUGGAUUACAAUAAAUUUAUUUAUAUGGAUAGUAUUUUGUAAAAAAUAUUUGAAGGUGGAUUUAAAUGUAAUUUUAUUUAUUGGCGUAAGUCUGUUCUCGCCGGA
rnacentral:rRNA from 1 species